rnacentral:rRNA from 1 species
UACGUAGGGACCAAGCGUUGUUCGGAUUUACUGGGCGUAAAGGGCUCGUAGGUGGCCAACUAAGUCAGACGUGAAAUCCCUCAGCUUAACUGGGGACUGCGUCUGAUACUGGAUGGCUUGAGUUUGGGAGAGGGAUGCGGAAUUCCAGGUGUAGCGGUGAAAUGCGUAGAUAUCUGGAGGAACACCGGUGGCGAAGGCGGCAUCCUGGACCAACACUGACACUGAGGAGCGAAAGCCAGGGAGCAAACGGG